CUUCUCUCUGCAGGGAGGAAGGGAGACGGCUACGCUGUAGCAGGGAAAUGACUAAGGAUCUAAUGGCUCUGAGAUAUCUGCCAAGGCUUAACAGAGCCUGUUGGAGUCUGUGACACAACCUGAGGGGAUCCCAGAGAGGAAGAUUGAUGAGCUCUGCUCUGUCUCCCUAGAAGAACCAAUCAACCUCUCCCUAGCUUUUCUCUGGCACUUGGAGCGUCCCGUGUGGGAUUUCUGGCCUCAUCUAUCUACUCACCAAACCACUUUUUGCUUUUCAGAUGUAAUUGUUUUCUAAAAUUAUGUUUUAUUUCCACAAAAUAAUUUCCAAAAUUUUAAUGGAUAAAAACCCCUUUAGUAAGAGUUUAAUAUUUGCUACAUUUAGUGUGUGCACUCAGCGCUCUGUGCUGUGCAGUGCUGUUUGCACACCCUGUACCAUACGCUAGAUAUGUGAGCAGUAACUGCUUGUGUGUAUAUGGUGGGGGAUGUAUUUUUUUUUCUGUAGAAUUUCAUGAUUAUAACAGGGUAAACUGCCUGGUCUACUCGCAGCUGGUAGCGCUGUUGCCAUCCUCAGCUGAGGACGUCUAUUGGACAGGAAUAAGUGUCUGCGAUUAGUUUAUAAGUGCCUCUAAUGUCCUUUUCACCAUUCACAGAGCCGUAGAAAUGCUGGGUUAGUAGGGCCCUCAAGAGGUCAUCAAGUCCAGCCCCUGAGCUCAGGCAGCACCAAGUAAACCCAGACCAUCCCUGACAGGUGUUUGUCCAACCUGUUCUUAAAAGCCACCAAUGAUGGGUAUUCCACAGCCUCUCUUGGUAACCUGUGUGAUGAAGUGGGGUAUUUUCCUAAAGUCGAAUAUGUAUACUGUGUGUGCCUCAGUUUCCCCUAUGUGGGGCAUAUCUAACGAAGGUGGGAGGGGAGGUGUUUAUCGCUGCAGAGCACCAGGUGUGACCAUAGGCGCUGACUUCCAGAUUUCCCGGAGAGUGCUCGACCCCCACUGCUCCGUCCUAGGCCCCGCCUCACUCCUCCCCUUCCCCCAAUACCCCACCCCGCCCCCUCCCCCUCCCCUGAGGGUGCCCCAUAUUCAACUGGUGCCUCCCCAUAGGGGCUGGGGGCACGAGCAAAAGGGCAGGUCGUGUAUGUCCCCCUGCGCCCAGCUCCGGGGCCACCGCAUUCUCCCCACCCAAUGUUACCUGCAGGGUGGGGGGCACUUUGUCCUUCCGUUGCACCUACCCUCCUAGCAUGUUCUCCUGCUCUCCCUGCUCCCCAGGAGCCCAGGUGGGGAACAGGAGGGAGCCGCUUUUAACACUGGUCCCUCCCCGGCGCUGCUCUGCAGCCCUGCCCGGCAGCUGCCUGAGAGAGCCUGUCUGGAGAGGAGGUGGCUUCCACUUCCUGCCUGGCUCGGCUGCUGGGGACCCCAGCACCGAAGCCCGGGCAGGUAGUGGGAGUCACCUCCCUAACCAUGCUCUCUCUGGCAACCUCUGCGCAGGGCUGCAGAGCAGCAUCUCAGUGGCUGGAAGGGGCUGGUCCCGUUCCUUCCACUCCCUGCAUCUGGGCCAUGCGUCGCCCAGGCCCACCCCCUGUCGCCCAGGCCCACCCCCAGCACGCCACCAAACAGGUGAUGGCAGCCAGUGGGAGGCACUGGGGGGACAGGGAUGAGCUGAUUGGCAGGGCCCGGUGCUGGGGAGUGGGGGGGAAGAGGGGCCUGCCAUGGAGUGCUCAGCACCCACUAUUUUUUUUCCAUCGGUGCUCCACCUCUGGAGUCGGAGCCUAUGGGUGUGACCCAGUCUAGCAGCUGGGACCCCAGACCAUGGCCUGGACACUUUGUAACUUAGCAACUGAUGACCUGAAGGCCCAUCCCAACUUGGAGCCAGCCAGUUAGGGGCAGUGGAGAGAACAAAGAGCUGCAGGAGAGUCCCCUGCAGAUCUGUUUGCCUGGGGAAGAUGGUGGAGGACACAGGAAGGAGGAGUCACUGCUGGGCUGGGAACAAAGAGCGGCCUGAGCCCAUCUGGGUGGGGAGAAGCCCAGCAGGACGGUGCUGAGAGUUUCUUGCCUGAGGCCCCUUGCUAGGUUCAGAGGUACAAUAAGCCCUUCUGUUUUGCACAGGCUGGGAGUCACUGCAGUCCUGAGGUGGGGGUUGCAUUGCGUCCUCUGGGUGUGAAGAUUUCUCCAUGGGUCCAGUCCAAGUAGACUCACUGAGGCGAGGUCACAGAGAGGAAGGCAGGCUGAAGGCUCAGAGUUGUGAUACGGGGCGGUGGAGGAGCCUACGGCUUAAACCCCAAGCAGCAAAUAUGGUCAAGACACUAAAGAGCAGUUCCUCCCACAGGCUGUUGAAGCUGAUAGAGCAUGCGCCUGUUGCACAGAUUAACUAUCCUUAUAGAACAUUUUUCCUACUAUCUAACCUAAAUCUCCCUCACUGCGAAGUAAGCUGAUUCCCCUUUCUCCUAUCUUCAGUGCAGCUGGAGAGCAGUUGAUCACCAUCCUCUCCCUAACAGUCCUUAACUUAACUUAUAUGAAGACCUCCCCCCCGAGUAUUCAUUUCUCAAGAAUAAAUGUCUAUUUUUUAACCUUGUGUCUUGCAUACAGUUAGGAUAUAGAUAUUCAGUCCUGUCUGUAAAGCCUUAUACUUUAAGAAUUUAGGUAUAUGUUUAUCAUUUAGCUAGUUAUAAGGUGUAAGCAGAAUCAGGAUGAGCUCUAGCCUGACAUCUGGUGGUGAAUUAUGGGGAGUGUGGAAAGAAUUUCAGGGAGUGUGGAAAGGAAUUUCAGGUAUUUGCAUUUGCACACCUACCCUGCCUAUCACAGCCCACGGCAGCCUGGGAUGGUUAUUUUGACAGCUCUGGGAUCCCCAAUUUCUCUGUUAUUGGGGCAGGAGGAAUAAAGUGUUGUCACCCUGAUUAUGUGAAUGAGGAACUAUGAGACUGCUUUAUGACAGAGAGUUUCACCAUCAAUUAAGUAGCACUCGCUAGACAAGGGACAUGGGUGCCAAAACCCAGUGAAUUGAGAGAGGCUGGGGACUGGUAUGUGCCUGCCUGGGCCCCUUUUGCGGGCCUGGAACACUAAUUGCACCUCUGCCUCUCUCCACUGUUGAAGAGCAGAGCUAAUUUUGAUUCCAUUAGGUGUCCAUCUAGAGGCUGCUGAGCUGAAUCCACUUUGGGCCAAUAGUGCACCAGCACUGGGGCUCCCCUACUA